rnacentral:rRNA from 1 species
UACGUAGGGUGCGAGCGUUGUCCGGAAUUAUUGGGUUUAAAGGGUGCGUAGGCGGGUUAUUAAGUCAGUGGUGAAAGCCUUCAGCUUAACUGAAGAAUUGCCAUUGAUACUGAUGAUCUUGAGUAUGAUUGAGGUGGGCGGAAUGUGUCAUGUAGCGGUGAAAUGCUUAGAUAUGACACAGAACACCGAUUGCGAAGGCAGCUCACUAAGUCAUAACUGACGCUGAUGCACGAAAGCGUGGGGAGCAAACAGG